UGCCAGCCGCCGCGGUAAUACGGAGGGGGCAAGCGUUAUUCGGAUUUAUUGGGCGUAAAGGGCGCGUAGGCGGCUUGAUAAGUCAAAGGUGAAAUCCCUCGGCUCAACCGGGGAACUGCCUUUGAAACUGUCUGGCUAGAGUUCGGGAGAGGGUAGCGGAAUUCCUAGUGUAGCGGUGAAAUGCGUAGAUAUUAGGAGGAACACCAGUGGCGAAGGCGGCUUUCUGGACCGAUACUGACGCUGAGACGCGAAAGCGUGGGGAGCAAACAGGAUUAGAUA
rnacentral:rRNA from 1 species